rnacentral:tRNA from 1 species
GCCCUUCUAUCCCAAAUGGUUAGAGGAACCAGCUUCAAACACUGGACAGUCUCGGUUCGAACCCGAGGAGGGGCAC